CACGUAGGGUGCGAGCGUUGUCCGGAAUUAUUGGGCGUAAAGAGCUCGUAGGCGGUGUGUCGCGUCGGCCGUGAAAACCUGCAGCUUAACUGUGGGCUUGCGGUCGAUACGGGCAUCACUGGAGUUCGGCAGGGGAGACUGGAAUUCCUGGUGUAGCGGUGAAAUGCGCAGAUAUCAGGAGGAACACCGGUGGCGAAGGCGGGUCUCUGGACCGAUACUGACGCUGAGGAGCGAAAGCGUGGGGAGCGAACCGG
rnacentral:rRNA from 1 species